ensembl:snRNA U6 U6 spliceosomal RNA
UUGCUUCAGCAGCACAUAUACUAAAACUGGAACAAUACAGAGAAGAUUAGCACGGCCUCUGCUCAAGGGUGACAUGCAAAUUCAUGAAUCAUUUCAUAUGUUU